rnacentral:rRNA from 1 species
GAUAAACGCUGGCGGCGUGCCUAAAACAUGCAAGUCGAACGGCUCCGGGUCUUCGGACCUGGGGUAGUGGCGGACGGCUGAGUAACACGUGGGUGACCUGCCCUCGAGCGGGGGAUAACUGCCCGAAAGGGUGGCUAAUACCGCAGACGUCGAUCAUUCGGUUGGUCGACUGAACCUCCGGGGUUCGGGGAGGGGCCCGCGGUCGAUUAGCUGGCUGGUGGGGUAACGGCCUACCAGGGCUGCGAUCGAUAGCUGGUCUGAGAGGAUAAUCAGCCAGACUGGGACUGCGAACGGCCCAGACUCCUACGGGAGGCAGCAGUUAGGAAUUUUGGGCAAUGGGCGGAAGCCUGACCCAGCAACGCCGCGUGGGUGAUGAAGGCCCUCGGGUCGUAAAGCCCUUUUCCCAGGGACGAUGGUGACGGUACCUGGGGAAUCAGCCCCGGCUAACUACGUGCCAGCAGCCGCGGUAAUACGUAGGGGGCAAGCGUUGUCCGGAUUUAUUGGGCGUAAAGCGCUCGC